AUCACUUGAAGAUCUUCUUAAAACACAGAUUCUGAUUCAGAAAAUUUGAGGUGGGGCUGAGAUUCUGCAUUUCUAACAAGCUCUCAGGUGAUACUUA
rnacentral:pre_miRNA from 1 species